AUACAGGUGUUGCUGUAUUUUUUACGACUGUUUUACCAUCUAGAAGAUAAUGUUUAAUGAAAAAAACAAGUAACAGUUUGACUUGAUAUUCAGUAGAACACGGUACUGUUUUAAUACCUUCAUCUCUUAUUUGUAUUCCAGGAUUCAAGCCUGCAAACUCUUCCGAACAUUCCUCCUCUCCAACUCCUGUGGACAAUGAUACAGCUCCUGACUGAUCACAUGAUUCAGUGAAGAUUAGAAGAAGACACGUAACUCCAGUGAAGUGGUUGUGGCAUCAAUGUUUUAUUAGGUUAUGUUAUGUGACAUAAAUAUGUAUUAACAAAACUUCUUUUACUGAAAUCUAACUUUAGUGUUUUAUAGAUCGGAUUUGACUGUUUCAGAUUGUCAGUGGAUGCAGUGUAGAAUAAUGAAGUGAGAAGUGAUAGAAGCAUUUUAUCUGCAGCUGUUUCUGCAGACCUUUGGUGUAAAGAUCACUGCAGCAGCUGUCACACAACCAGUGGUGGAAACAGUAUUCAGAUCCCUUACUUCAGUAAAAGUAUUAAUACUACAAUGUGAAAUUACUCCACUGCAAGUAAAAGUCCUGCAUUCAAAACUUACUGAAGUAAAAGUACAAAAGUAU